UUGGGUUAAAAAAUACGAAAAUAAUCUUUAUUCAAAGGAAGGGGGGGAAGAAAGAACCCGGCGCCACCGCCCCGAGAUCUGCCAUCUUUAAGGACCCUUCCACACCAACCACCCCGUGGCUCCGUUACGGCAGUCAUUAAGGGCUGAUGGCGGUCAUUAAGGACUGAUGGCGGUCAUUAAGGGCUGACGUCGGUCUGUCCCGGUGUUGUCAGUCAGUACAGACUGCUGUUGGCGCUGACGUGCUGUGACGUCAAUCAGAACGGACCAACAUUGGUGCUAUCGUGGUGUUGUGUCUGCUGAAACAGACGGAAAUCGGUGUCCUGUGCUGCGUCAGGCGGAACAGACUGACAUCAGUGGGAUCCGGCUGUUAUGUCAAUCAGAACAGGCUGACAUGGCUGUCUCUGUGCUGUGUCAGUCGGUACCGACUGAUGUUGGUGUCGUGGUCAUGUGUCAGUCGGUACAGACUGACAUCAGUGUGAUUGCGGUGUUUUGUCAAUCAGAACUGACUGACAUUGUCGUCUUUGUGCUGUGUCAGUCGGUACAGACUGACGUUGGUGUUCUCUUUGGCUUCUGUCAGUCGGUACAGCCAGAGUCAUCCCUGCUCUGUGUCAAUCAGAACAGCCUGACGUUGGUGUUCUCAUUGACUUCUGUCAGUCAGUUACAGCCUGACGCCGUCCCUGCGCUGUGUCAGUCGGUACAGACU
rnacentral:lncRNA from 1 species